rnacentral:siRNA from 1 species
UUGAGAAAUCUCGAAGAUGGA